GGUUACUAACUGCUGAGUCCUGGAGAGAGAUUUUCAAUUUCUGAAGACUCCAGGUCAGUCCUUGAGGCAUUGCAACUCGAAGCAAGUCACAUCAUUAUUCUGUGAAGGUCAUGUUUGCGAGGUGGUAAAGACUCGAAUUACAUUGACCAGACUGGAAGGAUUAUUGAUUUCAAAUGCAGAUUCCUCCAUUGAUUUGAUGACAGUAUUCAAGUCCUGUAUUGCCAAGUACCUGUCACCAAUCCUGUUGAUCGAUGAUGUCUUCUGGAAAGUACUGGAAAAUUCUGGGAUUGGAUUGCAGG